UCAGUCGUUUUCAAAAUAUUG
rnacentral:piRNA from 1 species